UUCAAAAACUACAAACAGUUCAAAAUGCAUACUUGAGAAGUGCAAUGGGCUACCUAAAAACAACGCCAAUCCAUGUGAUUCACGCAGAAACAGGACAACUACUGAUCGAGGACCGGAUAGAAUGGCUCACUUUGAGGGACGCCAUAAAAAGCUCAUACCAUAAAAACCAACUGCAACCAUUCAUCGAAGAAGCAUUGAGACAAGAGGAAGGAAACGGAUCGUACCUAACGUCCAUAGCAUCAAAACAUAUAGACGUAAUACACCAAGUACAUCAGAAAGACAGAAAUAUGCCAUAUCUAUGUAGAAAACAGUAUACGGAUAGACAAAUCAGCCUUCGAAUUGAGCCAAAUUUAGCAGAAGACCAGCUAAGAAAAGCACAAUGGAAUGCCGACAUAUGGAAACAACAAUUCCUGCAGACAAAGGAACACAAAUAUAAAAGAUAUACUGAGAUCUACACUGAUGCCUCAAAGACCGAGGCAGGGACCGCAAUAGGGAUAACGGAUGGCACAGGAAAAAUCUGCAAAAAGGAAAAAAUCAGCGAUAAAUACUCAAUAACAAACGCAGAACUACUCGCAAUAGAUUUCGCAGUAAGGAUAAUUAAGGAACAAAAUUACACCAAGGCAGUCAUCUUUACGGACUCUAAAAGUGCCUGUCAAAUCCUGCUAAACAGAUAUACAAUACAAGAAAAUUUCAUAGCCUGGAACAUAAUAAAGGAAUUAAAACACGAAGGAAACCCGUACAUCAAAAUUCAGUGGAUCCCUAGCCACCAAGGAAUAGAAGGGAACGAAAGAGCAGACAGGCUAGCAGUAUCAACCACUCACGGAAACCAAACAGACUUUACAACGUUGGUCCUAUCAGAUGCCCUUGCACUGGCAAAAGAAGAAAUAUGGGAAAGCUGGAAAACAAAAUACAAAGCUACAUCUACGGAAAAAGGAAUAAAACACUUCGAAAUAAUGGAAGAACCCGGAAAAACGAUAUGGUCAAGAGGACUCGCACUGACAUCAGACGAAAAAAGGAUACUAAACAGAAUAAGAACAGGGCAUACACUCACAAAAGAAAGAAGAUACACAUGGGGAUGGGAAGACGAAGAAGAAUGUGACCUCUGUGAAGAAAGAGAAGACCUGGAACACAUAUUGUUCAUCUGCCCACGUUAUAAUAUCGAGAGAAACGACUUUCCAGCCCUGGAGUACUGUAAACCACUGAAAACCAUCCUAAAAAAUAACGAGGAAAUGGAUAUGAAACAAAUAGUACAAUUCCUAAAAACAACCAGGACACAGAUCUAAAAAUAAUGCUUAAUCCAUAGAAAAAGCGACAUUCGAUAAAUAAACACCAAUAACGGUAAAAAAAUAUUAAGGAAUUUAAAUAAACGAAGAAAAAACAAGACAACUCUGGCAAGAUGGACCGUGAACGGUCUUAGCCGUCUGUCAAUUCAGACACUCCAAACAAAAAAAAAAAAAAUCAAGUGAUAUUUUUAUAUUUAGAAAAUUUUGAAGUAUGCCAUUCAAAAUUUUGCAAACUAUGGAGGAAGGUGAGCAGUGUCUUUGCAUUGUUCCUUCCGCCUGGGAGAAAGAUGGUAUCUUGUGGUGGCCAAAGGCAACAGGUGCUGCCAAAUUGCUUCGGGAUAAGUACUCUCAUCCGACAUCCAAAUGGCAACAGAUGGUCUGCAUUCAGAAACGAGAGUACCGGACACUGCUGGAAGCAGAAAGCGAGCUUUCCGACACCGAAACAGAGGAAAUGGUUUCUUUUAAAAAUUCAUGCACACGAACAGUUGCACCAAAAACGAACAUGAAACAUUUCCCGAAAGACUUCAACGGAAUUUUGCAACCCGCUGACUAUAACUUUCAAUCCGUUCAAGGUGAAGUUCCAGGCACUUUGGUUACUUCACCACAGGAAGACACUGGCACUCCGAACACCUUUUAUUUACCAUCAACAGUGCUUGAAGAAGAAAUGAGUGCUUCAAAUAUAGAGACUAUCGAUAUGAAUAGCUGCUAAGCGGUAUCAUUGGAAGACAUCGCAACCAACCAAGCACGCAUCAUUGAUAAUCAGAAUAAAAUGAUCACCGUCCUUGCUCAAUUGAAGGCAAGUUUUGAUUAUCUGAAUGAAAAAGUGAUGCAAAUGGAAUAAGGUUCUGAUAGAAGUGCUUCAGAAGUUUACACAAAAGAUUUUUUUAAACCUGUCGACUCAUUGGAGAUGUUGGAUGACUUGGAGAAUAUUCUAAAGGACGAUACUGCCAUAAGCAGAUACGUAAAACAUGAGCUACAUUUGCGGCACAACCUCAAAGGAGGAUGGUAUUGAUUGCUGCUAUCGUCUUAUCGAUUAUUUUAUGACUCGACAGUUCCUUACAAGAUGUAAAUGGACUGGUAUCUCCAGAGACAACACUGCAUCAGUAGAACUUAACGAGGAGUCUGAGCCGCAGAUGAAAAUUCCAUUCAUGACUUACAGAAGAGUCAGACUACUAUUUUUGAAACUUGUUCUUCAAGCGGAUAGUAGUUUCACAGCCAUGAAUUGCGAUGAAUUUUUCAAACGGGUACUGAAAAAAUAGCAAACAACGAUUGCUAUCUAAAACAGUAUCUAAACAUAAGAAUCGUCCAAAAAGAUUGCAGUAUGGUGCCCGUCAACAUAGCCUUCAACAGGGUGCCCGAUAAAAUUCUUAAAGCAAAUUUGUACUAUGAUGAUGUUACGUUGAAAUGGUAUGUUUAAAUAAAUUGGAUUAAUGUUUUAUGUUUUAUCUAGUUUGACUCUUCUUAUAUCAUUCUAAUGAAAACAUCACAUAGUAUGAAGAAGCGGAAAGAAAACGGAAUGCGUAUC